CCUUCCAUGCAAGUCGAACGGUAACGCGGGGCAACCUGGCGACGAGUUGGCGAACGGGUGAGUAAUACAUCGGAACGUGCCCAGUAGUGGGGGAUAGCCCGGCGAAAGCCGGAUUAAUACCGCAUACGACCUACGGGUGAAAGCGGGGGAUCGCAAGACCUCGCGCUAUUGGAGCGGCCGAUGUCAGAUUAGGUAGUUGGUGAGGUAAAGGCUCACCAAGCCUACGAUCUGUAGCUGGUCUGAGAGGACGACCAGCCACACUGGGACUGAGACACGGCCCAGACCCCUACGGGAGGCAGCAGUGGGGAAUUUUGGACAAUGGGCGCAAGCCUGAUCCAGCCAUGCCGCGUGCGGGAAGAAGGCCUUCGGGUUGUAAACCGCUUUUGUCAGGGAAGAAACGCUCUGGGCUAAUACCCUGGGGUAAUGACGGUACCUGAAGAAUAAGCACCGGCUAACUACGUGCCAGCAGCCGCGGUAAUACGUAGGGUACAAGCGUUAAUCGGAAUUACUGGGCGUAAAGCGUGCGCAGGCGGUUAUGCAAGACAGAUGUGAAAUCCCCGGGCUUAACCUGGGAACUGCAUUUGUGACUGCAUAGCUAGAGUGCGGCAGAGGGGGAUGGAAUUCCGCGUGUAGCAGUGAAAUGCGUAGAUAUGCGGAGGAACACCGAUGGCGAAGGCAAUCCCCUGGGCCUGCACUGACGCUCAUGCACGAAAGCGUGGGGAGCAAACAGGAUUAGAUACCCUGGUAGUCCACGCCCUAAACGAUGUCAACUGGUUGUUGGAAGGGUUCCCUUUCAGUAACGAAGCUAACGCGUGAA
rnacentral:rRNA from 1 species